UGACCACCGGGACCGAUUGUGUGUCAAAGACACUAGAGAGACCUUUAGUGUGGGUUAAAUCUGAAAUCGGGGUAUUUAUACAUCAGCAGCCGCAAGGCAGCCAGACAUCCAGGGAGUAACACAGCCGCUUGGACGGACAAGGUUCCUCGUUAAGAUGUUUUGGUUACAUCUUGCACACAUGAUGGACUGAGGACUGUAUGGCAAAUGCUUGUGGAGCAACUCUCAGUGUGGCUUAUGAAGCCAGAUAAUGACAGUCCAUGGUGCCAUCAAUCACAGUCCAUGGAUGCGGAAAGGCCAAGUUAAAUUCUGAGACUGAACACCAUAUGGAGGAACUGUUCAUAGGAGACUUGGAUGAUGCCGUCACGAUCAGUGUCGUGCUGACUGAAGAGCUGCGUCAAAUUCUAGCCAAGACCUUCACUGCUGUUGGACACAUCCGAGGCACAUGUUGCAUCCAUCAGCAGCAGCAUCUAUGUAUCAAGUGCACUCAGUUACUAAGAUGGCAAUAAGAAUAUUAAUAGAAGUUGCUGUCUACUGAGCUGCUGCACUCCUGAUAAGCCUGCAGAAAUGGUCCCUCGUGUGUCACACUUGUGGUCUUGCUGCGAUGCAAGUAACAAGCUUCCGAGUGUACAAGA
rnacentral:lncRNA from 1 species